GGGCGAAGCCAGAGGCGCGCCAAUAGAAGGCGGCAUUGUUGCGAGGUGCCCUGGCAGCGGGGGCAGCGAGUCUCCUUGGGGCUGUCCCUGGGCCGCGGCCUGGAGGCGCCGGGCGGAGAUGGGCGGCGGGAGCAGCACCCGGCGCGUCACCUUCGAGGCGGAUGAGAAUGAGAACAUCACGGUGGUCAAGGGCGUGCGGCUCUCUGACAGCGUCAUUGAUCGUAUGAAGGAACCUUCUUCACCUAGUGGAAGACCCCAGUCUCAGCACCGAUCAGGAUCUGGUGCAGUUGAUGAAGAACUGAAGAAAAGAAUAGCUGAAGAACUGGCAUUAGAACGGGCCAGGAGAGACUCUGAAGCUCACAAGAGAAGACUGAAGCAAGAACAAGCGUAUGUGCGAGAUGAGUUCGGGAAACUCCUGGAGCAAGAGCGGAUUUCAUCCAACGAACACCUGACUCGAGCCAUUCUCCGCGAAAGAGCCGCCACGGAGGAGGAGCGCCAGAAGGCCCAACGUUUUGAUAUAGAGAAAAAGGCCAAGCAGCUGGAGGAGAAAGACCGAGAACUGAAGAAGCACGACGCCUAUUACAAAGAGCAGCUGGCUCGGCUGGAGGAAAGGAGUGCCCAGUUCUACAAAGUCACCACAGAGCAAUACCAAAAAGCUGCCGAUGAAGUGUCAGCUCGGUUCAAGGUGGAUGUGAUAUUGUCACCCCUCUUAUGUUUAAACCAAGCGGGAUUCAGGACACGUAGAGCUGCUUCAGGCGAUAUCAGUCUCAUCCCAUUUGCGCGGAUCUGCAGGAGAAAAUUCUCCAGUGUUACCGGCAACACGCUCAGGAGACGCUGAGCUGCUCUGCCCUGGCCAGCCAGUACCUGCGCUGUGUCAACCACGCCAAACAGCAGAGCAUGCUUGGGAGAGGAGGAUAAAGGCAUCAUCCAAAUCAAGCACAAGACCAUCAACUCUAAUUUCAGCAGAAGAGCAUUUUUUUCCCCCAAGAAUGAUAUGACAGCCCAUUUACAGGGCAGACCAAUAAGGAGAAGAACUGGAAGAGCCAUUUCGAGAGCAGCAGCCAUCACGGCUCAAUCAGUGUGACCAUUUGAAAAGCCAAGACCUGUAUCUUAUUACAUCAGAAAUCGCACAUCGGAAGAUACUGUUCAGUCUUAGUAAAAUCCACUUAUUGGUGAUUGAAGGAAGGAAAAGAAAAGAACCUUUCACUGACCUUAGAAAGGGGAAAUAUCCUUCAAAUGCUGCUAUUUCACUGUAGAAUCUCCUCAAAAAGUUGUCGCUGUCAAAGGCGCAGGUUUGUAACGCUUGUUGUGCCGGGACGCGGCGGCACUUUGUGAGUCAGGCAGCUGCUGCUCCUCACUCUACAGCCGCGUUCAUUGCUCGUAUUAAAGUUUUCCUUACAACGUAUAAUGAUAUAAAUCAUACUUUAACUUAUUUCACGAAUUAUGGAACUUAAUGAAGUCUCUCCGGGCCUUCUGCUGGAAUGAUGUUAAUGAUCCAACACUCAAGUUGUAACAUGGCCUUUAUUUGCAUUAAAUGAUUCUGUUGUGCUCCUCCUAUCAAGUACUGACAAACAUGCCUCUCUCUCUACCAACAAUAAAUAUAUUUUAUGCACAAGA